rnacentral:rRNA from 1 species
UUAGAGUUUGAUCCUGGCUCAGGAUGAACGCUAGCGGCAGGCCUAACACAUGCAAGUCGAGGGGUAACGAUGGCUUCGGCCAGGCGACGACCGGCGCACGGGUGAGUAUCGCGUUUGUAACCUACCUCUGACUGGAGGAUAGCCCGAAGAAAUUCGGAUUAAUACUCCAUAAUACUAUGGACAGGCAUCUGUUCAUGGUUAAAGCCCCGGCGGUCAGAGAUGGGCAUGCGUGACAUUAGCUUGUUGGUGAGGUAACAGCUCACCAAGGCUACGAUGUCUAGGGGGUCUGAGAGGAUGGUCCCCCACACUGGUACUGAGACACGGACCAGACUCCUACGGGAGGCAGCAGUGAGGAAUAUUGGUCAAUGGGCGAAAGCCUGAACCAGCCAUGCCGCGUGAAGGAUGACAGCCCUAUGGGUUGUAAACUUCUUUUGUACGGGAAGAAACGCCUCUACGUGUAGAGGUUUGACGGUACCGUACGAAUAAGCAUCGGCUAACUCCGUGCCAGCAGCCGCGGUAAUACGGAGGAUGCAAGCGUUAUCCGGAUUUAUUGGGUUUAAAGGGUACGUAGGCGGGAGCUUAAGUCAGUGGUGAAAUCCUGCAGCUUAACUGUAGAACUGUCAUUGAUACUGGGCUUCUUGAAUGUAGUUGAGGUAGGCGGAAUGUGUAAUGUAGCGGUGAAAUGCUUAGAUAUUACACAGAACACCGAUUGCGAAGGCAGCUUACUAAACUACGAUUGACGCUGAGGUACGAAAGCGUGGGGAGCGAACAGGAUUAGAUACCCUGGUAGUCCACGCUGUAAACGAUGAUCACU